UGCAAGUCGAACGGAGCUUAGAGAGCUUGCUUUUUAAGCUUAGUGGCGAACGGGUGAGUAACGCGUGAGUAACCUGCCCUAGAGUGGGGGACAACAGUUGGAAACGACUGCUAAUACCGCAUAAGCCCACGGUACCGCAUGGUACUGAGGGAAAAGGAUUUAUUCGCUUUAGGAUGGACUCGCGUCCAAUUAGCUAGUUGGUGAGGUAACGGCCCACCAAGGCGACGAUUGGUAGCCGGACUGAGAGGUUGAACGGCCACAUUGGGACUGAGACACGGCCCAGACUCCUACGGGAGGCAGCAGUGGGGGAUAUUGCACAAUGGGGGAAACCCUGAUGCAGCGACGCCGCGUGGAGGAAGAAGGUUUUCGGAUUGUAAACUCCUGUCGUUAGGGACGAUAAUGACGGUACCUAACAAGAAAGCACCGGCUAACUACGUGCCAGCAGCCGCGGUAAAACGUAGGGUGCAAGCGUUGUCCGGAAUUACUGGGUGUAAAGGGAGCGCAGGCGGGAAGACAAGUUGGAAGUGAAAACCAUGGGCUCAACCCAUGAAUUGCUUUCAAAACUGUUUUUCUUGAGUAGUGCAGAGGUAGGUGGAAUUCCCGGUGUAGCGGUGGAAUGCGUA
rnacentral:rRNA from 1 species